UGAGAGUUCAAGAGUACGUGAAACCGCUUAGUAGUAAACGGAGGGGCUCUCGAAGUCGGCGGUGACGGUUCAGGGCGACGGCGGGGCGGCAUGGCGUUUUGGGAACCGCAAGGUCCCUGGCGCUUUGUUGGCUUUGUCGGCGCCUGCACUUCGUUGCCGCCAUACGCGACGAACCGUUUCUGACGGACCGAGGGCGUGGGUGAAGUUUGCGGGCCUCGGCCUUCAAGCCCCGCGUUCCUGGCUCUGUCGGGGACGGGUAGUGGAGCGAUCUCUUAUAGAGAGUGCCCUUGCUGGCACGGUUCGCAUCUCUGUCGCGAGUAGGUCGGCGGCCCCUCCGACCCGUCUUGAAACACGGACC
rnacentral:rRNA from 1 species